rnacentral:rRNA from 1 species
UGGGGAAUAUUGCACAAUGGGGGGAACCCUGAUGCAGCAACGCCGCGUGAGUGAAGAAGGCAUUCGUGUCGUAAAGCUCUGUAGUAGGGGAAGAAAGAAAUGACAGUACCCUAAAAGAAAGCCCCGGCUAACUACGUGCCAGCAGCCGCGGUAAUACGUAGGGGGCAAGCGUUAUCCGGAAUAACUGGGCGUAAAGGGUGCGCAGGUGGUUUAACAAGUUAGUGGUGAAAGGCAUAGGCUCAACCAAUGUAAGCCAUUAAAACUGUUUAACUUGAGUGCAGGAGAGGAAAGUGGAAUUCCUAGUGUAGCGGUGAAAUGCGUAGAUAUUAGGAGGAAUACCAGUGGCGAAGGCGACUUUCUGGACUGCAACUGACACUGAGGCACGAAAGCGUGGGGAGCAAACAGGAUUAGAUACCCUGGUAGUCCACGCCGUAAACGAUGAGUACUAGGUGUCGGGUGAAGAACUCGGUGCCGAAGUUAACACAUUAAGUACUCCGCCUGGGGAGUACGCUCGCAAGAGUA